UAGGCUUCUCUCUGUCAUUUCACCAUGAUUUCAAUUUCUAUUCACUUCUGAUUCUGCUGCACAUUCUGUCUGUUUGUUCUUCUUUUUCUUUUCUUCCCUGUAUUGUUAAUUUCAGACUUUUCUUCACUUUUGGCAUCAAGUUCUUCUGCCUGGACCAUCUUAUGCUUUCUGGUUUCGGGGGCAAAGGUCUCACUACAGAUGAGGCUAGUGUCCUGACAUCAGCUCUCCUAGGAUGCCUCUUCAGGGUCUGAGAUCUGAGGAUGGUGUAAGAAUGUGGCUGAUUUGUGGAUUUGUUUUGUAUCCUGAUACCUUAUUUGGUCUCUUUUUAGUGAAACAGCACACUGAGCUUGGUACAUAAAGAGUGUGUCAUCAAAACAGAGGAUUUGGCACAAUUGGCUGGCACAUAUCAAGCACCUAAUAAACACUUGAUGAUUGACUGACUUAUGCCUUUCCUGAGCCCC